UACAGAGGUCUCAAGCGUUGUUCGGAAUCACUGGGCGUAAAGGGCGUGUAGGCGGUCAAGUAAGUGGAAUGUGAAAUGCCCCGGCUCACCCGGGGACCGGCAUCCCAAACUGCUUGGCUUGAGUAUGGGAGAGGAUGAGGGAAUUCCUGGUGUAGCGGUGAAAUGCGUAGAUAUCAGGAGGAACACCGGUGGCGAAGGCGCUCAUCUGGCCCAAUACUGACGCUGAUGCGCGAAAGCUAGGGGAGCAAACGGG
rnacentral:rRNA from 1 species